rnacentral:misc_RNA from 1 species
ACGAAUUGUAAUGGGGGUUGAUGCUGGCAAGCUAAUCUUUUGGCUGCAUGUGCUCGCCUCCAACAAUCUUUAUCCACACACCUGUGCACCUGAGGGUUUUUCGAGUAGAGAUUACCAUCUGGUGAUCUUUCUUGGAUAUUCCCUCUUUACAUACGCUGGUUACAAUGUUGAACGCGCUCGUGCCGAUAUGGCCGUAAUAAAAUA